GCUGAAACACAGGUUCCCGUAUGACCACUAAAGUUAAGCAACAUUGAACCUGGUCAGUACCUAGAUGGGUGACUACUUGGGAAUACCAAGUGCUGUAAG